rnacentral:rRNA from 1 species
AGAGUUUGAUCCUGGCUCAGAUUGAACGCUGGCGGCAUGCUUUACACAUGCAAGUCGGACGGCAGCACAGAGAAGCUUGCUUCUUGGGUGGCGAGUGGCGAACGGGUGAGUAAUAUAUCGGAACGUACCGAGCAGUGGGGGAUAACUAAUCGAAAGAUUAGCUAAUACCGCAUAUAUUCUGAGGAAGAAAGCAGGGGACCAUUUGGCCUUGCGCUGUUUGAGCGGCCGAUAUCUGAUUAGCUAGUUGGUGGGGUAAAGGCCUACCAAGGCGACGAUCAGUAGCGGGUCUGAGAGGAUGAUCCGCCACACUGGGACUGAGACACGGCCCAGACUCCUACGGGAGGCAGCAGUGGGGAAUUUUGGACAAUGGGCGCAAGCCUGAUCCAGCCAUGCCGCGUGUCUGAAGAAGGCCUUCGGGUUGUAAAGGACUUUUGUCAGGGAAGAAAAGGGCGGGGUUAAUACCCCUGUCUGAUGACGGUACCUGAAGAAUAAGCACCGGCUAACUACGUGCCAGCAGCCGCGGUAAUACGUAGGGUGCGAGCGUUAAUCGGAAUUACUGGGCGUAAAGCGGGCGCAGACGGUUACUUAAGCAGGAUGUGAAAUCCCCGGGCUCAACCUGGGAACUGCGUUCUGAACUGGGUGACUAGAGUGUGUCAGAGGGAGGUAGAAUUCCACGUGUAGCAGUGAAAUGCGUAGAGAUGUGGAGGAAUACCGAUGGCGAAGGCAGCCUCCUGGGAUAACACUGACGUUCAUGCCCGAAAGCGUGGGUAGCAAACAGGAUUAGAUACCCUGGUAGUCCACGCCCUAAACGAUGUCGAUUAGCUGUUGGGCAGCUUGACUGCUUAGUAGCGAAGCUAACGCGUGAAAUCGACCGCCUGGGGAGUACGGUCGCAAGAUUAAAACUCAAAGGAAUUGACGGGGACC